CCUACGGGAGGCAGCAGUGAGGAAUAUUGGUCAAUGGACGAGAGUCUGAACCAGCCAAGUAGCGUGAAGGAUGACUGCCCUAUGGGUUGUAAACUUCUUUUAUAUGGGAAUAAAAUGUUCCACGUGUGGGAUUUUGUAUGUACCAUAUGAAUAAGGAUCGGCUAACUCCGUGCCAGCAGCCGCGGUAAUAUGGAGGAUCCGAGCGUUAUCCGGAUUUAUUGGGUUUAAAUGGAGCGUAGGUGGAUUGUUAAGUCAGUUGUGAAAGUUUGCGGCUCAACCGUAAAAUUGCAGUUGACACUGGCAGUCUUGAGUACAGUAGAGGUGGGCGGAAUUCGUGGUGUAGCGGUGAAAUGCUUAGAUAUCACGAAGAACUCCGAUUGCGAAGGCAGUUCACUGGACUGCAACUGACACUGAGGCUCGAAAGUGUGGGUAUCAAACAGGAUUAGAUACCCCUGUAGUC
rnacentral:rRNA from 1 species